CUUUAUCCCUUUUAAACAUGCUUUCCUUCGCCUAUUUUUUUUUCUCUAGAGUCCAUAAUGGACCAAUAUGAAAAUGUGCCUGAGUCUCAACGGCAUUCACUUGGUGAAUAUGUGAACGUACUAGAGCCGGAACCGAUCGUACUAGAUCCUUGUUUUGGUUGAAAAGAGGAUUUCAAAGGAUCAGUUUUGCAUUGGGGGAUCUAUUAAUCUUCGCAAAGGAUGGAUCACCAGCCAGGACACCUUCUCCUGAACAACUUCCAAUUUUGUCAUAUCCUAAGUUUUCUCCCUUGCACUUUGGAUGACGCAUCCUGAGAAUUUCUCCCAAUUAUCAGUAGCAGUAUUUUGAUGGACUUUUCCCAAAGCAAUUCAGUUUUGCUUUUAAGUUUGGUUGACUAAUAAAGAACCAAGA
rnacentral:lncRNA from 1 species